rnacentral:rRNA from 1 species
CCUACGGGUGGCAGCAGUGGGGAAUAUUGCACAAUGGGCGAAACCCUGAUGCAGCGACGCCGCGUGAGUGAAGAAGUAAUUCGUUAUGUAAAGUUCUAUCAGCAGGGAAGAGAAUGAGGGUACCCGUGUCAGAAGCGCCGGCUAACUACGGGCCAGCAGCCGCGGUAAUACGUAGGGGGCAAGAGUUAUCCGGAUGUACGGGGGGUAAAGGGGGCGUAGACGGCGGGGCAAGAUUGAAGUGAAAGGCGGGGGCUCAACCCCCGGACUGCUUUGGAAACUGUACGUCUGGAGUGCAGGAGAGGUAAGUGGAAUUCCUAGUGUAGCGGUGAAAUGCGUAGAUAUUAGGAGGAACACCAGUGGCGAAGGCGGCUUGCUGGACUGUAACUGACGUUGAGGCGCGAAAGCGUGGGGAGCAAACAGGAUUAGAUACCCCGGUAGUC